CAGGUUUACUGCUCAAAACGUAUAAUAUUGACGUCCGCUCUCUUAGGCUUAUAACAAUCAUAACCGGCGUCAUCGCAUAACAGACUGAUUGUGGGACGAGCUACAUUCCUGUGAUGAAAUUUGGAAACGGUGCGUCCGGUUACGACCGGAAAUCUAAUCGACAAUCAUGGACCGUCGAAAACCUGUAUUCAGCUCUGGAGGCAGUCAAGAACGGCGUCUCCAAAAACUGUGCGGCUCGGGAAUAUGAAAUACCAAAGAAAACACUGCUUCGUUACAUAGCGAGGUCCAGCAUUCCGCUUGCUGUUUCUCGUAUGGGAAGUUUCACAACGGUGUUUAGUGAAGAGCAGGAACAUCAAUUGGUCAAUUAUUUUGUUGAUAAGAGUAAGUGUUUUUACGGACUGACUCGAAGAGACGUAAGAGGUUUGGCAUUCGAAUUAGCUGAGACAAAUCACAUUCCACACCCAUUCAAUCAAUCGGAAAAGCUAGCUUGAUGCGACUGGCUGAAAUGUUUUCUUAAACGUCAUCCGAUUCUGUCCCUACGGUCUGCGGAAAAUACAUCAUUGACAAGAGCAACAGCCAUGUUUUUUCACUUAUUUUAAGUGCAGAACAAGUCGUCGAAAAUUUUAUCGAAAAAAGGACAACAUCAAGUGGGAGGAAUUUCAUCCAAUGAAAGAGGUGUAAAUACUACGACAAUGUCUGCAUCUGGAGAAUUCCUGCCACCAAUGUUCAUUUUCGCUAGACAAAGAAUGACCGAUGCAAUGAAGGUAGGUGCUCCUGAAGGAUCUGUGUUCGUCUGCAAUUCCAGUGGCUGGAGUACACUAACAACCUGUUCCGAGUGGUUCGAUCACUUCUUGUCUUACACUCGCCCGUCUGUUGAUUCACCAGUGUUGUUGAUACUGGAUGGACACUCCACUCCCGCCAAACACACAGCGAAACCUUCCUAGCCGUCAAUCCGGGCUUGGCGAUGGUUCGGGCCGGCUCACCGCGCUUCGACCACGACUUUUUUCACUUUAGGUUGUCGUACGUGAUCCACUUUUCAUCACCAGUCACCGUCUUCUUCAAAAAUGGGUCGAGUUCGUUCCGUUUCAACAGUGCAUCGCAGGCGUUGAUUCGGUCUAAAAGUUUUUUUUGCGUCAACUCGUGUGGCACCCAUACAUCUAGCUUUUUUGGAAUCUAAUCUUCUGCAAAUGGUUCCAAACGGUUUAAUGGUCUAUACCCAAAGUACGUAGAAUAGAAGGUAAGUGAUAUUAUCUGUGUAUACACGCGGAGCGCGCAUGUGUUACACACACAAAGAUGUAAUAAACAAUCCUCAAUUUGUUCGAAAUUGGGAAGUUUUUCCAAUAUUUCUUGUUUUAAAAAGUUAAAAAAAAUCGUAAAAAAUGACAAAAUCAUAAGUCGAGCCAACGAUAAUCACGAUAGUGUACCGCAUUUUCACUGCAGGUAAGGUUUGAUGUGAUUUUUUAUCGAUUUCAUACUGAACAGUGUUUGUUUACUUCAGCGAUAUGUCGAAGUGAAACGUCCCGCGAUGCCGGAGCAAAAAAAUUUUGAAGAAAGUUGGAUAACUUUCCACCGUUUUCCGACCAAAAAAUUGUUGAGACGGAAAUGGUUAAACUUUUUCGGAUACAAAAGCUCGUUCGAUACGCGAAACAUAUUUGUUUGUUCGCUUCAUUUUUCGCCGGAUUCCUUUGGGGAUACUGUUUUAACCUAUAAUCAGCAAAGAAGACGUCUUCGUACUGGAGCUGUUCCAUGCAUUCGCUUCGCAUUUUCCAAAACGUUCAGUUCCAAUGGUUUCACACGAAAUUCCAAAUUUAUACAUUCACAUCUUGCGAAAGUGUAAAAUAUUUAUUUGCAAUCACUUCGGAAGAUGACCCGGGAUGGAGGAAAUGUUUUUCUCGUUUUCUCCAGAAACGCCAAUUUGUUCCCAUAAGUGGCCUCACUACAGCUGAAAAUUCCAAACCGAAACCAAUGAAAGCGUCGCGAUGAUUCUUGAUGGAUGCUUCAAUAAAAGAGAAAAAAAAAUCAGCAGUGUGGGAGUUAAUCUUUCAUCAUAUUAUAAAUUUGCGGGAACGACACUGCUUCGAUAUAACCUCUCCACACAUUUGUUCGUCGUUUUUUGCGUUAUUUUUGUAAUACAGGUGCGAUAAUUUCGCUAUUUUAAAUUUUAAAAUUAUUAAGUAAACUGCUAUUCCAUUAUUUAGAAACAUAUUUUGAGACAGUUCUUUUGUUACAAUUUUAAAAAUUCAAAAAUGAUCGAAUUUAUAUGGAUUCAAUCGAUGGUUUAUUACAAUUUUUCGCUUUUUUUCUUUGCCUACCACUACUUGAACAAAGCAGGGAGGAGACUACCUUCUAUUCUACGUACUUUGGUCUAUACCCAGUACCUGGCCAAUCGAGCGAGUGUUCACAUGCCGGUCUACUUGGAUGAUUUCAACGAUUUUAUCGGUUUCCACGAUGGCCUACCAGUACGGGGUGUAUCUUCGACAGCCACUACACCAGAACGAAAUCGAUCAAACCAACGCUGUGCUGUGCGAAUCGUUACAGUAUCGGGUCCAUAAACUACACGAUUUUUUUCGGCCGCCUUCGUUGCAGUUUUUCCUCACAGGUAGUAAAAACGUAAAAUAUGGCGAAUUUCUUGCUUGGUGGACUCCAUCUUUGACGCGCUAUAACUUGAGACU